rnacentral:rRNA from 1 species
GACGAACGCUGGCGGCGUGCUUAACACAUGCAAGUCGAACGGAAAGGCCCUGCUUUUGUGGGGUGCUCGAGUGGCGAACGGGUGAGUAACACGUGAGUAACCUGCCCUUGACUUUGGGAUAACUUCAGGAAACUGGGGCUAAUACCGGAUAGGAGCUCCUGCUGCAUGGUGGGGGUUGGAAAGUUUCGGCGGUUGGGGAUGGACUCGCGGCUUAUCAGCUUGUUGGUGGGGUAGUGGCUUACCAAGGCUUUGACGGGUAGCCGGCAUGAGAGGGUGACCGGCCACAUUGGGACUGAGAGACGGCCCAGACUCCUACGGGAGGCAGCAGUGGGGAAUAUUGCACAAUGGGAGGAAGCCUGAUGCAGCAACGCCGCGUGCGGGAUGACGGCCUUCGGGUUGUAAACCGCUUUCGCCUGUGACGAAGCGUGAGUGACGGUAAUGGGUAAAGAAGCACCGGCUAACUACGUG